UUCGCCCUUUUCCGGUUGAUCCCGCCGGACCCCACUGCUAUCGGGAUAGGACUAAGACAUGCUAGUCGUGCGUCUCCUAGCUAUGUUGGAGGCGCGGCACACAGCUCAGUAACACGUGGCUAACCUGCCCUUGGGACGAAAACACCCCCGGGAAACUGGGGUUAAUUUUCGAUAGGUGAAGACUCCUGGAAUGGUUUUUUGCUGAAAAGGCGUUUGGAGCAUGCUUCUAAGCGUUGCCCAAGGAUGGGGCCGCGGCCGAUCAGGUUGUUGGUGAGGUAAUGGCUCACCAAGCCUUUUACCGGUACGGGCCGUGGGAGCGGUAGCCCGGAGAUGGGCACUGAAACAAGGGCCCAGGCCCUACGGGGCGCAGCAGUCGCGAAAACUCCGCAAUAAGCGAAAGCUUGACGGGGCUAUCCCGAGUGCCGUCUG
rnacentral:rRNA from 1 species